AAUGCUACUACAAAAUGGUUACCGAAUC
rnacentral:sRNA from 1 species